AAGGAGGAGUCUGCAGACACACCGACAUGCAGCGCAGUGGAGGCUGAGAGGACAAACUCGGACUGAGUAAAAACUCACAGACAGCCGGUGCCCCCCUCGGCGAUGCUUAUCCGACACCACGCCAGUGAUUGAUCACCGAUCGUCAGGGACUGAUCGCCUCCCCCCGCCCCGCCUGAUCCGCCCUGUCAGCAGAUCCCGCGGUGCCGCGGAGAAACCGAACCAGCGUGCGCCCCUCUCCGAGCUCCAGGAAGAAGAAGCAAACAUGUCAGAGAGGAGAAGUCAGAAGAAGUCCAUCUUUCUGUCCUCGUUGUUGGUGAGUUCAGCCUUUGCUUUCUCCCUCUCAUCCUCCUUUAAUGAUCCUUAAAGAAUUAUCCUGUGUUUCCUUUCUUCAUACGGUUCUAAUCUCAAACCAAUUUCAGACGUUUCAGACUUCACUUUCUCCCCCCGGCGGUCUUUUAUCUGUCCUCCUCCGUUUCUCAGCUUUUCCUCGUCUCUUCCUGUCUUCCUUGUCUUCCUCCGCCAUCCUCCCUUCUUUUUUUGUUCUCCUCCUUGCAACAGUCAGCCAGUCAUCCUGUUUCUGGUGUCCUCAGGAACCCGUAUUAGUCCGUGGGUUUGGAUCGGCGCCACGAUCUACUCCCCACUUGGCACUGCGUCACGCAGACGCUCGCUGUUGUCUGCCAGCUGCUUGCACAACUUUGCAGAACUUGUACCAAUUAGUCAAACCUUUUGAGUUUUGCAUAGAGCGGAUAUUGUUAUAGCCCGACUGGGAAUCUAGAGAUUCUCUGCCUUUGUCGAUGUUGAUCCCAUUGGCAGGCGUCCCGAGAGGCUCCUCCCCCUUAUCUUUCCUCUCUCCGCAGUUGUAUUCCUGUCUGUCACCGCCAGCACACAUGCAGGCCGACUCUGGAGCACUUCAGGACGGGGGUCAAUUUACUACAUGACCGAAUCAGAAAUGUACUAGAGAGGGAGAGAGAGACUACGUCACCGGGGAAUAUGUAGAACAAUAGCUAACAAUUGACAGAAAAGCGGUGCUUUCUUAGUAACAAAUUGUCUUUUAGCACAGGAGAGGAACUGAGGUAUCGAUGUGUCAGUGGAUGACGCGUUUCAGUACUUUGCUUACGUAUAAAUGGGAUGGAACUUUAUUAUUAUGAAUUUGAAUGUCUCUAUUCAUAUAUAUGAAUUUGUAAAGCUUUUACAGGGAAGGUAUUGUCCUUUUUUUCUUUAGUUAUCUUAAAGAUACAGUUUACAAAGUAAGACAAUAUGAUGCAUACAAUAUUUCAAAAGGACAAUACAAAAAGGACAAUAUGAUGCAUACAAUAUUUCA
ensembl:lncRNA